rnacentral:rRNA from 1 species
AACGACUGCUAAUACCGAAUGUUGUCGCAAGAUUGAAAGAUUUAUUGCGCUAGAGAUGAGCUCGCGUCUGAUUAGCUAGUUGGUGGGGUAAAAGCCUACCAAGGCGACGAUCAGUAGCUGGUCUGAGAGGAUGAUCAGCCACACUGGGACUGAGACACGGCCCAGACUCCUACGGGAGGCAGCAGUGGGGAAUUUUCCGCAAUGGGCGAAAGCCUGACGGAGCAACGUCGCGUGAGGGAGGAAGGCUCUUGGGUUGUAAACCUCUUUUCUCAAGGAAGAUAAUGACGGUACUUGAGGAAUCAGCAUCGGCUAACUCCGUGCCAGCAGCCGCGGUAAUACGGAGGAUGCAAGCGUUAUCCGGAAUAAUUGGGCGUAAAGCGUGCGUAGGUGGUUUUGUAAGUCUGCUGUUAAAGCGUGUAGCUCAACUACAUAUAGGCAGUGGAAACUACAAAACUUGAGUGCGUUCGGGGUAGAGGGAAUUCCUGGUGUAGCGGUGAAAUGCGUAGAGAUCAGGAAGAACACCGGUGGCGAAGGCGCUCUACUAGGCCGCAACUGACACUGAGGGACGAAAGCUAGGGGAGCG